AAAUAAUUAAAAUAUAACAGUGAUAAAAAAAGAAGAAGAAGCUACUCUAUAGGGAGCCUACAGCCAGGCCCAAAUUCUCCAACCUCACUUCUUUCGAGUUUCACAUCCUCUACCAAGGUUUGGAUGCGGCAAAGUUCCCUUAGGGUUCGUUUGAACCCCUGGCUUAUACCAAACACCCAGAAUGCAUCAUUAUUUACAAGUGCAAGUGUGAAAGUGCCAGCCUUGUGCAUCAAAGUUCAAUGGGUUCUCAAGGCUCCCAAGGAAAUGCUUACACAAAGGGGGUAGAACCUAAGGUUUAAGAAUAGUGAGAUUGUGAUAGAGUUGAAAGGGUUGAAAACAAUUGAGAGACAGUUUGAAAGGAAAACAACAAGAAGAGUUGAAAGAAUUCCUUUUGAAAUUUAUUUGGACUGACCAGUUACAAAACAAGAGAAUCACACAAGCAGGGGUAAAGGGAAAGGGAACAAAUAAGCAAAGAAACCAUUCACAUGUACAACACAUCAAAGAAAAUCAAUCGAACAUGGCUGCACACAAGGAGUCCAGUUCUUACUGCACCAAACUCCAAACAUAAUUAUCCUCAGGAAGAGGUUUCAGGACUGUUAAUUAACCAAGCAGGCAUGAAUACAUGCUAGUAGUGCAUAGGAAUGGAAAAACAUACAUUGAGACAGGGAAAGAGGGGUAGUGAACAUGCUAAGUCAAGCUAGGCAAACUAAUAAGUACAUGCUAGUGGCAAUGAGAACAACAGAAACAUAAGUAAAAACACACUUGAAACAGGAGGAAGUGUAGAACUAAUAGAAGCAUGUUGUUUUGAAGACUGUAACUUAAAGAGGUGACAUACCAGUUGCAGAUAAUAGAAACAAUAGCAAUGAGCAAUAAUGCACAAAGGAGAGCAAAGUGUGCAGAGAUUGUGCAUAGAGUGAGAGCAGCAGUGUGCAGAGAAGCAGGUAGCAAGCAAAACCAAGUAAAUAAUGCAGUGGAACCCCAGUAAUAGAAAUAAACAGCCAAGAUUACUCGAUCUUAGCUUUCAG
rnacentral:lncRNA from 1 species